rnacentral:ncRNA from 2 species
AUAUCGAAAAGAGGUCGCAACUGACAAGAGUAAGUUCACUGAGCUAAUAAAGUAGCGGAGAAGUGGGGUGAAAGGGGAGGUUGCCGAAGGGAGCUUAGACUUUAUGCUAAGUUUGCUGGGCCUAACCUUAAGAGGGGUAGGACUGUCGCGACAGAGGUUGCGGAGCGCUAAGAGAUAU